rnacentral:lncRNA from 1 species
UAUGGUUCGUCUACAUCCCACCUCCGUAGGUGGGAUUUUGCUGAGUAUGGUUGUUGUUAGAUAUUUUCAAUACUUUUAUAUUUUCUAUACAAACUUAAUGCUUCUCUUAUAGGUGGUAGAUAUAGUCCACAUUGCACAUCCUACUCAGAUUAACAGGUGUACUCUUCAUUAUACGCACACUAGAAUUUUAGUCAUCGUAUAAAGUUAAUGGCCGCAAGGGGCGUACAGAUGAGGUUAAACCAUACACCAAAGCAUCAGGUGCCAUGAUAUUACUAAAACUAAUAAAGGUGUGGUCUAUUUAAUCUUUAGAUGGAUGAACAUGAGGAUCUCUAGUAAAGGGCUGAAGAUGUACUCAUGCACCAAUGGUUACUCCAUCUAGCUCACGAUCCUGCUAAUAGGCCUGUAUUUGAGGUCCGGCUAGUACAGGUUUCUGCAACAACUGAUGGCAGCUCUGAU